GACGAACGCUGGCGGCGUGCCUAAUACAUGCAAGUCGAGCGGACCACUUCGGUGGUCAGCGGCGGACGGGUGAGUAACACGUGGGCAACCUGCCUGUAAGACUGGGAUAACACCGGGAAACCGGUGCUAGUACCGGAUAAUCCUUUCCUUCACAUGAGGGAAAGCUGAAAGACGGUUUCGGCUGUCACUUACAGAUGGGCCCGCGGCGCAUUAGCUAGUUGGUGAGGUAACGGCUCACCAAGGCAACGAUGCGUAGCCGACCUGAGAGGGUGAUCGGCCACACUGGGACUGAGACACGGCCCAGACUCCUACGGGAGGCAGCAGUAGGGAAUCUUCCGCAAUGGACGAAAGUCUGACGGAGCAACGCCGCGUGAGCGAUGAAGGCCUUCGGGUCGUAAAGCUCUGUUGUCAGGGAAGAACAAGUACCGGAGUAACUGCCGGUACCUUGACGGUACCUGACCAGAAAGCCACGGCUAACUACGUGCCAGCAGCCGCGGUAACAC
rnacentral:rRNA from 1 species